GGAGGGUGAUUCAAUCCGAAUAGCUCCCCUGCACCUCAAUAGAGCCCAGGUUCCCUGUAGCUGGGCUGAGGCUUGGCUGCAGAGAUUUUGGCUUCAUAGAAGACGUUAGGAGGUAGGGGUCUGGAGGUCCAGUUUCUCCUUUUUUGCACAUCAAGGAGAGAAUCAGACCUUUCAGGAAGGGGGCUGGUUUUGUCCAAGAGUGUGAGAUUUUUCUAGGAUUUUUAUUUCUUCUUUUACUCUCCCAUUAACCUGGUGGGGACCCCACCCCGACUGUUUCCCACUUUAGCCUCCUCUUCUGUAUUGUUUUGGUUUUUUUAAGCCUCCGUGCCCAGCUUCCAUUAUGGAAAGUGCUGUUUAUGUCCAGGGCGCCUUAAAAAGGCAGCUAACAGCUCUCUGGCUGCGGUCCUCUUCGCUUGUUUCCCUGGCAACCAGAGGCAGGGAAAACAGAACCUGUCAGAUGGAAAAUGUCAGUUACAGCAGAUCUGGGAGCGCAGGAAAGAAGUGGUGGGAUGGAGCGAGGGAGGAAGUGGGAGGGCCGGCAAGGGCUCACCCUCCUGCCCACCUGGGCUGGUGCCCUCCUCCCAGCGAGCCAGGGGAUCAGGGAGGCUGGCUUCUUGAACGAGAGGGGCUGCUACCAGAGCAGGCAGCUUCAGAGAUGGGGGAGGGGAGGGGACUGCCACCUAGGAUUAGCAGGAUGGUCUUUGGCAGCCGUCCCGCCCAGCUGAUUAUCACAUUGUUUUAAAGGUCAUUGGGCUUCUUGAGGCCCCCAGCAGUGCGUUCUAGAAGCCCCUCCAGUCGAACUUAAAGCUCUGGGUCUAGGUAGCAGAAGGGGGAGGGUCGGGGAAGAAAAAGAUAUCAAACCCCAGUAUCCAAAGACCCCGGAACCGUAUCGAUCCCGACCCCUGCUUGGUAUCGAUUGAUCAAUGCCCCUGCCGAAAAGAGGAAUUGCCCUUUAAAAUGGUUGGGAAAGAGAUUGGGAGGGAGGGUUGAUAUUAAUCAAAGCAGGCCCCUCAGAAGGACGGCAGAGCAGCACGGGGAAGAGGAAACAAAAGAAGGAGGUUUGCCGAACAGCCUCGAAUAUUACGGCGGGAGAAGCGAUCAGUUAAUGGCACUGGAUGCAAUGAGACAUUCCAGGAGCUUCCCUAAUCUCCUGAUUUUUGGGAGAAACUCCCGCCCCCCUGGCCCAGUGGACCUGAGAGAGUGAAGGGAAGACAGGCUGCUGUCCACAGUCAGCUGAGCCCCUGCUGUGCGUUUAGGGUGACAGAUGGUGUUUACUUCAAAUAAAAAAACAACAGCACCGUUGUGUGCGUGUGU
rnacentral:lncRNA from 1 species